rnacentral:rRNA from 1 species
AUUGAACGCUGGCGGCAUGCUUUACACAUGCAAGUCGAGCGGCAGCGCGGGGGCGAACCCUCGGCGGGCGAGCGGCGAACGGGUGAGUAAUGCAUCGGAACGUACCCUGGAGUGGGGGGAGUAAACGCCGCGAAAGCGGCGCUAAUACCGCAUAUGCUCUGAGGAGGAAAGUGGGGGACCGCAAGGCCUCACGCUCUGGGAGCGGCCGAUGUCCGAUUAGCUAGUUGGUGAGGUAAAGGCUUACCAAGGCGACGAUCGGUAGCUGGUCUGAGAGGAUGAUCAGCCACACUGGGACUGAGACACGGCCCAGACUCCUACGGGAGGCAGCAGUGGGGGAAUUUUUGGACCAAAUGGGGGGCAAACCCCUGAUCCAGCCAUGCCGCGUGAGUGAAG